AAGGAGCGGCGAGGAGGUAUUGUCAAAAAGGUUGUUGGAACAGCAGACAUAUGAUGUAGUGGCUGUAAUUAUAAGGCGUGGUCUCUACAUGCGGAAAAAUGUAAUAAAUAAAUGGCAUACAACACAGACAAAAAAAAAAAGUGAGUGAACGUGACACAGAGCGGGGUUGAGAUCUCAGACCAGCCGAGACAAAACAAGGAGCUCCUUCCUAAAAGAGAGGCUGGAUCUGUGAGAUGCAAAGACAUGGCCCCAUGUUACAUGGUCGAGAAAAAGUGCAGUUUGAAGUUUUGCUUGGACAGAAAAGGUGCUGAAACCUGCAGAGAAAAUCCCCCCACUGUUUCUGCAGUACUGUUUUCUAUC